rnacentral:lncRNA from 1 species
GCAAAUGGAAAGUCGUUCCUGCUGCUACAGUUCAUUGGUUCAAGUCCGACACUGAGCUCACAGUGGACGUUGAGUUGGUGGACACAAUGGACAAUAAGCCCAUGAAGCUCCAGAAGUCCAGAUUUGGAUACGGUAUUUCCCUUUCUAUCUAAAAUCUACCAUAGAAAUUUGUACUAGCUGCAUAUACAUCAAAAGAGGUGGCACACUUGAAACUACUUCAGGAACAGUUUAGUUGUCAAAGGCAAAUAACCAUCUUUAGUGGUCGUUACAUUAAACCUAGGACGAGAUGCAUAUAGAGUUCUGUUAUGGCUACUACGAAACAGAUGUCAACGCAAAGUAUUUCCUCUUUUCUAUGAAAAGGUUUACAUUAUAAGGAUAAUCGAGUAUAAUAAUAUGGAUGAAAAUAUUGCUCUCCUGCUAGGUCUUAGAAGUUAGAAUCCACAAAGUUAGGUUAAUUAUAGUAAUUAUGACCCCACUUAUGCCUUCUCUUUACGCAUUAAGAUGUGUCGCUCCUUUAAAAAAAUAAGAUGUUGAUUCUUGUGUUUUGAAGUCUUGGAUGUGACUAAUUGUAUGACAUGCCGAUAUCUGGCGAGCCUGGUGUGUUCUGUUUUCUCACACCUGCCGCCGUCGCACAAGGUGAUUGUUGGACGUGAGCGAGCUUCAGGAGCACUUCCUACAGGUUGUCGGCCGUUCACAAGUACUUCCUUUCAAGCCGAAUGGGCUCUUUAGUAAGAUGCAUCAUCUUUUUUGAAUGGAACAAGAUUGACCAUAUUGUUUGAAGUGAAAAAGAUUCAUUAUGAUCUAUCCAUUACUUGAUUUGAAGUUUUCAACUGCUAGAUGUAGGAGGAGGCAGUAGUGGCUGGGAAUCUUGGUGCUAAAUGACACAUACUGUCCUCACCCGAUUUCUAAGAGGAAAAAAAACCCAAAGAACAAAUACUCAUUCAAACAUUUUUUGAUUCAGUGCUCCAUGAGCAUUUUAUCUAUCAUUUGUUUUAAAAUUUUGAGUUUUCAGGUCUAAAAUGGUUCAUCCCCUUUUGUGGUUGCAGUUUUACUGAUCUGGACACACCACCUUCUCAGGUCUAAAAUUUUGAGUUUUCAGGUCUAAAAUGUAACUGAUGUAAAGAUUUGUCCAUCCCUUGGUUAGUCUUUUGAUCUACUGGUAUUUUAUGAGGCUUGGCUUUUUGAAAUAAAAAAUUUUGCUUAGAUUUUGACCUUUGUUGUAUGCGUGAUGGCAGACAGAAUCCGACUUUUUUUCCAGCUGGUGCACUGAGGGAGGCGUUUGAUGUAGCAACUGUAAGUAUCGAACCUAAUGAACUUCCUUUUAAUUAUUUUUGUGUGGUUUCACCUCUUACACGCUCUGUUAAUUUCUUAGAUUUAUACAAGUUUGUUAUUGAACAAGAACAUCUCAUGAUGGUUGUCUUAUUGUCUGUAGGCCUUUAAAAAACAAUGCCAUGAUUGAUUCAUUCCCCACUGGUAUAUUCAAAGUUCUAGGUCUAUACAUCAAUACAUGUAUAUUGCUUCUAAAGAUCUUGCAAAUUUGGAAGCUAAAAUUAGAUAAAAUGAUAUAAGUUUUUAGGUUAAUUCUAAUGUAAUGCAAUUUCAACUUCCUCUGGACUCUUGAAAGUAACUAUUUUGUUUGCCUGCAGUAUGUUCGUCCAGCAGAGGAUGCUCUUCAGUGGAAAAUUCUGAAACCUUAUUCAGCUUUGAUGUAUAGCUGGCACAGUUUGUUAAUAAUCUCUAUGAACAUUUGUACAAAUGGUGACAAAAAAGUUCUUUUAUAACCAUGGAAUCAUGACAUGGAAUGUAUUAUUAAUGUGUAUACCUUCAAUGUGGAUUAUCGAAGACUACUUUCGUUUCAUAUUCAUGCAAAAAACUUCUUCGGGAAUGUUGAAAUUUUUGCUUGUACUGUCUUUUCCUGGAGUCAUUGAAAUAUCCCCUUGCACAGAAAUUUGUUUUCUACUGAAUUUUUGUCAAGAUACUCUGGUACUAACAUUUAACUAUUUUGUAGGAAUGAAGAGCUCAAGGGAGCAAAAGGAACAAGGAGAAAGGAGCGCUCAAGAGAAGUGAACUCAAAGUCCAAGAUGCAAUCUUCACAUAGCUCACAAAUAUUAACCAGUAAACACUACUUGAUUCGUGAUGGCAUUGGACCAGACACACAACAUCCAGUUCUAUAAUAAGUAUAUUCGUGAUUGCAUUGGACCAGACACACGGAGAUGCUCGCUUGUCGUCGAGGAGUGUAGCUUGUAAUCGAAGUUGGCGCUACAAAGCUUGUUCUCAAAACCGACAACCAACUUAUGGCGCGGGUUAUUAACUCAGAUGUUAUCGACCGAUCCAGGUUUGGUCCUCUUGUCUAGGAGAUAAAGAAGAUGAUGUGAGGCAUCGACGAGUUCUGAGUGGCUUGGGCCAGGAGAAUAGCAAACAAAGCUGCUCAGAUCUUAGCUAGGGAGGGUUGCCUUUUAAUGCAAAACUUGGUUUAGUGUUUCUACAGAUUGUAUUCAAGAUGUUGUACUGGCGGAUAAUGCCAUGAACUAAAUAAUAACAAGGCAUCAAUUUCCUAUAAAAAGUAUGUUAUCUUAUAGCAGGUGCAUCGUAUCAAAGAUACAUAUUUCAUGCAAUUAAUGUUGAACCACUAGAAUACUUAU